CCAGGAGGGUGGCAGAUGCCCUGGAGGCUGGUCUGGCUUGAAGUCCUCACAGCCUGGAGCCCUCCGGAGAGAGAUUGCCCUCACACGGCUGCCUAGAGGCAGUCACAUGCUCUUUAUACUCCAGCAAGUGACUUGGCUUCCACCUCAGGCCAAGAUGCUGAGCCCAGUGGAGUAGCAGUGCCUCUAGGAGGACCAGGCGGCCCUGGCAGCCCAGCUGGUGAGUGAGGGGCUGAAGGCAAGUGCUGAGCUGGAUGCAGCAGCCUCUGCUCCAUGCUGAGAUGGGGG